GAUGAACGCUAGCUACAGGCUUAACACAUGCAAGUCGCGGGGCAGCAUGGGGGUUGCUUGCAAUCCCCGAUGGCGACCGGCGCACGGGUGAGUAACGCGUAUCCAACCUGCCCUUCACCACGGGAUAACCCGGCGAAAGUCGGACUAAUACCGUAUGUUGUCCAUUGACGGCCUCCGAUUUGGACGGAAGGUUGGGCGGUGGAGGAGGGGGAUGCGUCCGAUUAGCUGGACGGCGGGGUGACGGCCCACCGUGGCGACGAUCGGUAGGGGUUCUGAGAGGAAGGUCCCCCACACUGGAACUGAGACACGGUCCAGACUCCUACGGGAGGCAGCAGUGAGGAAUAUUGGUCAAUGGGCGUAAGCCUGAACCAGCCAAGUAGCGUGCAGGAUGACGGCCCUAUGGGUUGUAAACUGCUUUUAUGCGGGGAUAAAGUGGCCCACGUGUGGGUUUUUGCAGGUACCGCAUGAAUAAGGACCGGCUAAUUCCGUG
rnacentral:rRNA from 1 species